GUAAGUCACUUUCCUUCUAUCCAUAAAUCUUCCACCAUGUGGCUGUGCUGGAGUCUCUCUGAGCCUACUCUGGCUUGGAAGACUGCCUGAUUUGCUAAUCAUUCUUUGCUCAAAUUAAACUCUGUUAAAUUUAGUUAGUCCAGGGUUUUUUUUUUGUUUGUUUUUUUAAAAUCAAAUCUUCAGUGACUCUUUAUGGUGGUCAAUUAUGGCCAGGAUGGAUAGGAGACUACCAUGCAGAAAAGUAUGAGAGAGACUUGAAAACCAUGCAGUGAUCUUUAAAACCCUCUGAAUAUGUAUUUUCAAAUGCUGCUUUCAUAAGUCAUUAACCAUAAUUUAUUGAAUGUGUACUAUGUGUAUGGCAUUGUACUAGAUCCUUUAUAAACCAUAUAGAAUUUUUAUAGUAACCUUGAAAAGUAUGUGUUAUUAUAUCCACUGUACAUAUUGGGGGGACUGGAGGCUUAGAAAGUGGAAGUCGAGGCUUGCACACACUUAUUAUGAAAGGCCAGCUGGCAUGAUAGUGGUUCACCCUGAACAGCAGAUGGAACUGAUAACAGGCCCAUUAAAUUAUGGGCCAAAUAGUUUGCAACCUUAAGAAAUCCCUGUGAAAUGUUCAUAGAAUAUUAACUUCUUAUCUUAUCAAAGAAAAUUUUAACCCAUUGAAAUAUAAGAUUUGUGUUAGGGUCUGAAUGGCCAACCAUUUUUUUUUUUCUGUAUGUGUUUGAGAAUAAUGUGUUUUGCAAUUUUUACAUGCAGUAUUUUAUAUAAGCUUAUGGUACAGCUUGUUUAUUGUAUAAUUUAAAACUUCCUUGUCCUUACUAACUUUUGUCUGUUUAUUCUAUUGCUAAAAGUGGUAUAGUAAAUACACUACAAUAAUGCAUUUGUCAAUUUAUCUUUAGUUAUGUCACUUUCUGCUUCAUAUAUUUUGAGACCAUGUUAUUAGGUACAUAAAAUAUAAUAAUUAUAUUUUUUUCUGGCAAACUGAAGCUUAUUAUAAAUGACCCUCUUUGUUGCGAGUAAUGCCUUUUGCAUUUACAACUGAUGGAGACAGGACGCAGCCAAAAGUCCCUGGUGAAACCCCGCCUUCAAGCCUAAAACAGCCUGAAGGAUGAAAAACCAGACUUCUGGUGCCUGAUGAAGCCUGCCCUUUCCUGACUGAUUCUAAAUAAUGCCUACCUGCCAACUGGGAAGGCAGGGUGGAGCCUUCGGAAAUUCAUGACCUUCGCAGGGGAGAGGAGCUUGGCCUCUCCUAUUCCUGUGUGGUGACCUGGGAUUCAAACUGUGAGGCGGAAAACCUGCUAGCAGGAGUCUCGCUUUGCUGAGAGUUAUUUUUCUUUUCCUUUUUAUCCAAUAAAUUCCGUCUUCUCACGCUUCUAUGUGUCUGUGACCCUACUCUUUCCUGGUCGUGUGACAAGAGCCUGGUUUUAGCUGACCUAAGAAGAAAGUUCUGCAACAUUUUUGGUGUCCAGACGUGAGUCUUGAGGAAGGACAAGUACAGACAAUCACCAGGAACUAAGGAACAAGAAGCAUCCAACCCUGCAUCUGUGGGUUUCCUGAGGUGACUCUCAAUUGUCAUAGGGGUGAAGAGUGAGUGAGGAAACCCUUGGAGCACUUGUUUGCUUCACAGACAUCCUGACCUCCUUUCAACUGUAAAGACUUAGUCAGAGGACGGCGGCUCCCUCAGCCUCAUUCUGCAGUUCCAAUGACACUUUUUACAAAGGCUCUGCUCAAAUCUUGAAUAGGUCAAAAAGAGCAAGAGGAAAAUGUCAGAGAAUGGAGAAAGGCAAAUACAGAGAAGCAGUGUGAACAUCCACCCGGCGAGGGUUUCACAGAGCCAAGCAGAAAAGGAGCACAGGUGACCUUGGCAGGAAGGCAUGCAUGGGAGAGCAGGUCUGCACUCUGGGACACCAGCCUCAACAGAAUACGAGUUUUGAAUUUUUGAAUUGCUGUUAAAACUUUCAUCAUGAACACUGAAGUGAGUGAAAAGAGACUUUUGCAGUCAUUUUUUUGUUCUCAGGUCCCUGGACCAUGAAGGGCCACAUCCAAGGAGCUACCCCAGGAGGCCUCUCAUUUGCAUUUGUCCCCGCUAAUGCAGGACAGAGAUCAUGGAAGUUGGGCCCGACUGGAUGAGAUUUGGGGGUCUUUGGAAGUGGAGAAUGUGUUUGCCCUGGGGAAGAGAGGUGAUGUCUAGGAGACCUCUUCACUCAGGGCAAGCUCUAUGACCUGCUUUGACUCCAGAAUGUGGUAGAAGUGGCAUCACAUAAAUUGCAGAGCCUAGGCUUCAAGAGACCUUGCAACUUGCCUCUCACUGACUUGAAGUGCUCCCAUCAGAGCAUCUUGUAAGGAGCAGGUGGAGCAUGUGGACAAGCCAUCCCCACCAGCCCCUGAGACAUGUGAGAGAGGCCAGAACAGGCCAUCCGGACCCCACUGUGCUGGUGGAUGAGACAGCAGAAGGAAUAUCAACCUACCAACAGAAUCCUGAGAAAUGCUCACUCUUACUUCAAGCUGCUGCAUUUUGAUGUUAUGAAACCAUAAAUAACUUAUGAAGUCAUCUUUGCUGACUUAAAGUUUUCCAUAACUUUAUUAUAACAUAUCAAAAUUAUGAAAAAUGUGAAAAGUAGAAAACUGAUGAAUUUUGCUUCUUCAUAUGGUCUUUAAGAAUCUCAAAGGCACUGAAGUUUUUUAUCUUUUCUGUCUUAGAAUAAAAAACCUUGAAUGAAAAUCUGCUUCUUGGAAAAGCAGCAAGGUUUAUGCAGAGGCAAUCUGGUAUUUGUGUGCACUGGCAGCUGAUCAUACCCAGCAUGCACGCACUCUCAGGGCAGAGUCUGAUGCCCCACAUAAUGGGGCAUGGUAAGGACUCCCAUGUCCUUGAGAUAAAAUGAUAAGGAAAAUACACACUGCUAUUAGAAUAACAGGCCCAGCUUCUGCACAUUUUAAUUCCCAAAGUUUUCAUGAAAGACAAUGAUUUUUUGGUACCAUGUUUAACUCUACAAGAAUCAGUAGUGAAAACUAAAAAUGAUACUUUGUGAAAGUUCAUUAAUUUUGUUUUCAGCCAGUGGUGGCCUUGGUCAGAUAGAAUCAAAUCUAUGAUACUUUUUAUCAGAAAUGCUUAUACUGUGUACAAACCCAAAGUGAUGGCUUUCAAAGAUUGAAUUUGAUUAUUUUCUGUAUGGUGCAGAUGAAAAAUUACUACACAGGAGAAGGUGGGUUGGAGGUGCUCACGAGUAACCAGGAAACAGUCUGAAGUUUUUCUGAUACUUCUCCUUGGUCCAACCAAAUGUGAGAUAUAAACACAAACUUGGGAUUCCGUUCUUAUGUUUUGGUUGUUUCAGUCUUUACAGAUGUAUCGAAAGGCUGUCCAAAAAUGUCUGACUUCUGUAGUGUGCCUUCGUAGCACUAGAGGGUUCUGCAGCUGUGAAACUGAAGGCAUUGGCAAGAAGCCCUCCAUCUUCAAACCACUUUCUGCUAAGGUGUGGCUCUAUAAAACCACUAUGAGCUGGGCUUCACUGAGACUGAGUUGUUUCAGUAGGAUCUUCCGGAAAAACAUGUUCCCUCCUUUACCUGGGUUGUCAUUCUGAGAACAAUCACACCUCCAAUUUUGGCUUACUAAGCAAUAGCGUUUUAAUGAUUUUAAGCCAGGAUUUGCUCCUCCUUUCCUCAGUAUGAGAGCUUAACCACUGGAGGAACCAAGAAUUCAUGCUGGUUGGGUUCUGAUUCCACUUUAACUUACUGUAUAGCCUCAUCCCUUGUUUUUCUGGAGAUUCUCUUUUUCUGCUUCACUGAUUUAUAUUUACAUUAAAAUCAAAUGAGGCCAUGUUUCUGAAAUCACAUUGUCCCUACAUGGUCAUUACAAUGAGUCUGUAAUGUGACUGAAAGACAGCCAUGGAUACAGGUAGAGGAUAUCAGGCAAUUGAAUGCUCAUCAAGCAUUCAAUUCAGGGCAAAUGGCAUAAGGUAUGCAGUUGGCCUCUUCUGAUAUCUGUGUCUUAAUCCUUUCUUUAGCCUCUGUUUUCUGGACCAAGGCUAAGAUAUUUUCUGGGCACAGUGGCUCAUGCCUAUAAUCCCAGCACUCUGGGAGGCCAAGGUGGGAGGAUUUCUUCAGCCCAGGAGUUCGAGACCAGCCUGGGGAACAUAGGAGACCUCAUUCCUACAAAUAAUAAAAAAAAUUAGCCAGCUCUGGUGGCGUGUGCUUAUUGGUCUCAGCUACUUGGGAGGCUGAGGUGGGAGGACUGCUUGAGCCCAGAAGAUCGCAGCUGCAUUGAGCCAUGAUUGUGCCACUGAACCCUAGCCUGAGCAACAGAGCAAGGCCUUAUCUCAAAAAAAAAAAAAAAUUCUGAGCCUUCUAAUUUUUUUUUUCUUUAAUUAACUUUCUGUAAGCCCAGCAAGUAAAUAAAACACUUAUUUUAUGAAGCAUCUAGUUGCUUUUAGGGGAAGGGACAUCCUCCGCAUAGUAUCUAGGCCAGCUCACUUUCUUCUCCUUACUGUUGAUUUACUCUCUGCCAUUGAAUCUUCUGUGCCAAUGUUGGAUUAAUGUUUCCGGGCCCUACUUUCAUCAUGCUCCUCUGUAUUAUCACCUGUUUUGGUUUACAGCAAUGAUUUUUAAGGUAAGGCAUGGUGUGUCCAUCAUAGUCACAUGGGAACUUUUUCAAGCCAUAUUAAAAAUGUCCCCCAUUCAUCAUUCUGCCCCUGGAACAGUGUGUGCAGUUGGGACCUUCAAGUAAAUCUACUUUGUUGAAACCCACUGAUCAGCAUGGUGUAUUUCAUAACUCUUUGACUUACAUUCAAGAAAUUCCUUAACCUGAACUCCAUUUUACUCUUUUUUUCAUUCAUUCAAAUUAAGAAUAUUGCCUGAACAUGAAUUAUCUGCUAGACGUUUUUCUAGGUGCAGGAGGAGUAAGGAUGAACAUAACUAGCCAUAACUAUAGCUAUCAAUUGUGGAGUGUCUGUUAUGUGCCAGGCACUUUUAAGUGACCUACUCGAUUUACUUGCAUGACAAACUGUGAGGAAAAGCCCAAUAUUAUCCCCUAUUAACAGAUGAGGAAACUGAAGCACAAACAGCAUGAAUAGUUUGUUCCAGAUUGCAUCAUAAGAGGCACAGCCAGCUUUCCUACCAAAGCAGCCCUGGCCCAGAGUCCGUACUCCCUCCUCCCCUGCCUCUGCCUGGUGGAUAAGGUCACCCUGGCCUUGUGGAACUUAUGCUCUAGUGGGGACAAAUAGUUAUAGAGAAUGACCGAUGUUACUAAGAAAAUAAAAGCUGGUAAGAAAACAGAAGCACUGAGGAGGUGACUGAAGUGAGCAUUUAUAAUUUUAUGUUAUAUCCAUUGUAAAAUAUAAGUUUAGCUUUCUCAUACCAGAAGCAGGGCUCAGUCCACCCUUGACUCAGUUUCCAAUACUGUUCCCCAUCAGAAUGGCUCUUGCUGGUGGCCAGAAGUAAAACUUAGAAAUAUCUCUCUCAGAGACACCUAAGCAGGCUGGGCUCCCCGGUUUCCUGUUGCUUCCUUUAAAGAAGCUCUUCAGACAUCUGCACAAGAACUCAAAGUGACCACCUCUCAGCCCAGCAUGACCUACUGGAACUAAUGCCUGCUUGCUUUCAACCUACCAAUUAAAGCUCCCCAGGAAACCUGUUUAGAUAACACCCUGGACCCAAGAAAGGUGCUGGGCCAUGGGUUUCUUCUCUCUCUCCCUAUCUGUGCUCCCUGACCCCCUGUGUGUGUGUGGUCUCUAGGCUUGCCUUCUAUCCCUGAGGGUCUGUAAAUACUAAAAACACUUAAACUUUCAUAUUGUAGUUGUGUCUUUGAAGCCAGGUCCCCAUCCCGUACCUUGAGGGCAAGGCCUCCUGGAAGGGACCCAUGUAGGUGGAUCCCCUGCUGUCCAGGCCUCUUAGCUGCUGGGGUAGUGACCAGUUAAGUGGAUAGAGUUUCAUUCAAAACAAUAAUCAUUCAACUGUAUCUCACAUCAAACCUCUGCUCUAGUUUAUGUAUCUACUUUAUGUUCUUAGAAGACUGUGCAAACACAUUGUCUUUUUUGAGUACCUGUCUUGUCCUAGGUACUCUGCUUGGUACGGGGAGAGACGAAUCUUCUGUCUUCAGGGGCUUCCACUCCAGCAGGGAGAACAUGACUAAUAGUGACUGCCUGCUGCUGUAGGUAAUAAGUGGCUCCCACUAGGCCCUCCAUUUGGUGGCCCCCUGUCCCUCUCACUGGUGGAAGCCUACCUGUCCUCUAAGGACCAGCUCACUAAUGUCCUAGAUCCUCACGGACCAGAUUGCUUUUCUCAGAACUGAAGAGCACUUACUAAUGGCACCUCUUGUCAUAUGCCAUCCCAGGAUUUGAAUUUUUUUUUUUUUUCUGUCUUGUGGCCCAAAUAAAUCCUGAACUCCUCGAGGGCUGGGAGUGUAUCUAGCAGUUUCCUUAUACUGGACUAAUCAGAUGCUGACUAGGUAGCAGUGAGAAAAAUCUAGAAAUUCCCUUUUAGCCACAUCGACUUACACGAGGGGAUGUGUGUAAGGUACUAUAGCUCUUUAAACAAGAGGUGGUCUCGUUUGAAGGGUGGAUUGAUGUGGGUGUUCAAAUGAUGUCACAAGUGGCUGGUUUCUCUGUCUCCAUUUCUUUUUUUUUUGGCUCCAUUUCCAAAUUUCCCAGAUAGCACAGCAAGUUGGCCCCAGCAGCUCUAGACACUCCAUCUUCUCAGGGCAUAGCCAACACAAUAAAAUAUUUCAAGUUCCUGAAAGAUAGCUGAAAUAAGCCCUAGAAGUUUCUGGAUUGGGAGCAGAGCCAAACCUGCCAGCUCACAUAGAUGAGGGCAGGGAAUAGGGUGUCUCACGAUCACAGUGUCCUGCCUUCUGAUUUGCCUGGGACUGUCCUGUUUUGGCACCAAAAAUAUCUGCAUCCUAGGAAACCCUCAGGUCCUGGGCAAAUUCAGACAGUGACUUGCCCUAUCAGAAGCAAAGCAAGGUGCCAUUACCUGAGGUGGGCAAAUUCAGACAGUGACUUGCCCUAUCAGAAGCAAAGCAAGGUUGCCAUUACCUGAGGUGGGCAAAUGGAGGCUGGGUGGCCAGUGAGUGACCAAUAACCCCAGCAUUGGAGAGAGUGGAGCAGCCCUUCAAGAAGUUCCAACCUCUGCCCAGGACUGGUUUUACCAACUUCACUAGGCUUAGAAUCGUAGGAAGUCUAUUUGGGACUUGCGAGUCUCACGUAUUCCUGCCUAAAUGUUUAUGGAUACCUGUUUAGAGCUGAAAUCUUUUCAGCUCCCAUAAUAUGAGGGAAUUAGGUCUCAAAGAAGAUCAUGUAUUUUGAUCAGACCUUAUAGCUGAGCAGUGGAAAGAAAAAAAAUCAGUGUGAGAUCUCCCAGGGUUCCGCAGGAGUGGCUUCCUUAGUCCAACUGGCAGCCUAUCCUGGAAUAUUGCCUGGGAGAGAGGUUAGUUGCUUUUCCUGGUGCUAGGAACUGAAUGGUUUUACAUAUUGAUCAAUGAAAAUACUUAUUUGGCCUACAAUAGGUGCAAAAAUACUGCUAAUUACUAACAGUAUCUCUUCUUUGCUGCGUGCCAGACACUCCACUGGGCAUUAUGCAGUUAAUAUGUACCAUGAAUUUCCCGUGGUUAGCAAUGAUGUCAGGCAUAGAAAAGACAUGAAAUUAUGAUGUCAAAUGAAUAAACUGGAAAAAGGAAUUUCUUGAAUUUUCUCCAGCUGUCCUAAGAAUGUAUCUAUACUUUGAUCCUGGCCUACCUUUUCAACAUCUAAACUUUAUUCCCCCAAGCUUCUAGAUAUUCAAAGUUAAGUAUUAAAUAAAAUCAGUAAAUAUAUACAAGCUUGUUUGGCCAUUCUGAAUAAGGUUAUAUUUCCACCACACAAUCUCCAAAUUCUCUAGCAGAAGGGAUCAGUAUGUUAUAGAUACCCCCUUUCCUUCCCUCCCUGGCAAGCCACCACAUCUGUUAUGGGUACUCAAUGCAGUGGCUGCACCUGGGCCUCACUCAUUAAGCAGUUGUUGAUUGAGUGACUGAAUUGAAUGCCUGAUGAGCUCGCAAGUAAGAUUCAGACUGUGCCUGCAAACUAAUAGGAUCCCUCCGCUUUUUAUUCACUACUGCUGAGGUAGAUCUCAGGCCAGCCUGAAGUUUAGGUCUACUGAGAAAUAAUAAGCCUCAAAAAUCGAGCUUUGCUUCACCCAGUCUCCCAGUAAACACUAAGAAAUGUUCACAUUAUUUACACAUCCUAGACUGCCUGUCUUAUGGACCAAAUGUUUGUGUUCUCCCCGCAAUUUAUACAUUGGAAUCCUAACCCUCAAUGUAAUAGCAUUAGGUGCUGGGGUCUUUGGGAGGUGAUUGGCUAAUGGACCUGGAGCCCUCAUGAUGGGAUGAGUCCCCUUAUCAGAAGAGACCUGAGAAGGCUUGCUUCCUCUCCCUGUGCUCUUCAUGAUGUGAAGACACAAGAAGACAGCCAUCUGUGGGCCAGGAAGAGGUCCUCACUGGAACCCAACCAUGCUGGCACCCCAAUCUUGAAUUUCUAGCUUCAAGAACUUGGGAAAUAAAUGUAAGCCAGCCAGCUUAUGGAUUUGUUACAGCAGCCUAAGCUAAGUCAGAGUCUCUAGAACAGCUGGUCUGGGGCAGCGGUGAAGGGAGGUGGGUGGGCAUAUGACCCUGCCCUGCACAUGAAUGGCAAAGGCAACUGGAGAGCCUCUCCCUUUUGGUGAGAUCCCCAGUCCACAAGGGCAUGUUCAUCCAUAGCUUUACUUCCCGAAGCAAAUUCUGGUUCCUGGGGCCUGUGCCUCCAUAGAUGGCAUGAUCUGCAGCCUCCUGUGGUAAUUUACCCUCUUCCUAAAUUUCUGAGUCUUCACAUUUAAGCAAUCCUAGUUAGAUAUCCUCUACCUGUAUCCAUGGCUGUCUUUCAGUCACAUUACAGACUCAUUGUGAUGACCAUGUAGGGACAAUGUGAUUUCAGAAACAUGGCCUCAUUUGAUUUUAAUGUAAAUAUAAAUCAGUGAAGCAGAAAAAGAGAAUCUCCAGAAAAACAAGGGAUGAGGCUGUACAGCAAGUUAAAGUGGAAUCAGAACCCAACUGUAGUCCAUUAUUUGUUUCAAUCCUGCUCUUUUCUACCAUAUCACCCAGUUUCCAAAUCGUUCAGCAAAUUGCCAUGGUCAAUGGGAUUAACCUUUCCCUUUUAUUCUCAGGAAAUCUCCCUUGUCCAUUUUGCAAGACUGUGUGAUUCUUUCUACUGUUACAAGGAAUAAAAGCCUUCCUAAAAAGGUCUUUGGUGCCUUUAUUAUUUUACGGAUCAUUUCUGAGGGAAUUAUUGAACUUCAUUAUGUAACCACCCCUUGGGUUCACCUUGCCCACUGCCUAGACAGAGCCAAUUUAUCCAGACAGGAGAAUUGCAAUGGAGAAAGAGUAAUUC
rnacentral:lncRNA from 10 species